UACGGGGGGGGCAAGCGUUGUUCGGAAUUACUGGGCGUAAAGGGUUUGUAGGUGGCUUGUUAAGUCAGACGUGAAAUCCCUCAGCUUAACUGGGGAACUGCGUCUGAUACUGGCGAGCUUGAGUGCAGGAGAGGAACGCGGAAUUCCAGGUGUAGCGGUGAAAUGCGUAGAUAUCUGGAGGAACACCGGUGGCGAAGGCGGCGUUCUGGACUGCAACUGGCACUGAUAAACGAAAGCCAGGGUAGCAAACGGG
rnacentral:rRNA from 1 species